rnacentral:lncRNA from 1 species
GCAUGACUCUGAAAGGGCCAGCUCCUCCAGGGUCAGAGGGCAGGCAGGACGUGACUCAGGCUGGACCAGACUCACAGCAGGACAGGACUCAAACUGGACUAGGUCCACAAUGCUGGUAGUGAUGCUCACAGGACUGGGAGGUCGGGACUCAAGAAUAACGGGACAAACAGGAUUACUGGGCCUCACUUUUCUCCUAGUGGUGCUCCGAGGGUUGCUCGGCCUCCCCUCAGGUCUGGAAGGCUGUACAUAAGACUGGACCAGGCCAACGGGGCUAACAGGCCGUCUAGUGGGGCGUCGAGAGUUGCUUGGCCUCCCCUCAGGUCUGGAAGGCUGUACGUCAGGCUGGACCAGGACAACUGGUCUAACAGGCCGUCUUGUGGGGCGUCGAGGGUUGCUAGGCCUCCCCUCAGGUCUGGAUGGCUGUACGUCAGGCUGGACCAGGACAACUGGUCUAACAGGCCGUCUAUUGGGGGGCCGAGGGUUGCUUGGCCUCCCCUCAGGUCUGGAAGGCUGUACGUCAGGCUGGACCAGGACAACGGGGCUAACAGGCCGUCUAGUGGGGCGUCGAGAGUUGCUAGGCCUCCCCUCAGGUUUGGAAGGCUGUACGUCAGGCUGGACCAGGACAACUGGUCUAACAGGCCGUCUAGUGGGGCGUCGAGAGUUGCUUGGCCUCCCCUCAGGUUUGGAAGGCUGUACGUCAGACUGGACCAGGACAACUGGUCUAACAGGCCGUCUAGUGGGGCGUCGAGAGUUGCUUGGCCUCCCCUCAGGUCUGGAAGGCUGUACGUCAGGCUGGACCAGGACAACUGGUCUAACAGGCCGUCUUGUGGGGCGUCGAGGGUUGCUAGGCCUCCCCUCAGGUCUAGUGAUGCUGACAGGGAUUCUAGGAAUCAUCAUCUCAUGCUGGUGCAGGCUCUCUGGGCUGCUGGGCCGGGAAUCAGGUAGAAGCUUGUAGUUCUUCAGAACCUCAGUGAAGGAGAGCUCCUUGUUGCGCCUGCGUC